CUACUACCUCACACAUAUCCCUAUUAUCUUCUUAAAUCACUAUAAAUACCUUUCAUUCACAGCAACUAAAAGCACCAAAUCCGAAAAAGAAACUAUAGUAUUUUUAUUAGAAAUCAGAGAAGGAGUUUAUUUUGUUUUGUGUGCCGGAUUUCAAAAAAAGUAUUGAAAAUUCUUAUUGUCAACAAAGAAAACAAGAUUGAAAGAUAAAGAAUUGAUGUGGUGUUCAAAAAGGUUUCAGAAUUUGGAUGAACUGAGAGAAUUAUUGAACACAACUUAUUCUUUAAAGGUAAGUCAUCACAAAGGCAAUGUUGAGAAAGAAACUGAUUUUGAGUUUAGUAUACCUACCCAAGUAUCAUCUUUAUGUCUAUUAUUGAAUCUAUGUUAUUCUAUGGAUUUUCAAAUUCAUUAUUAAAAAUUUUGAUUUACGAUGUAA